UUUAUAUAUUGUUUAUAAUCAACAUGCAUUUAUGCAGAGUGGAUUUAGAUUAUAGCAGCACUCACAGUUCUUAUUUUAGUAUCCGUUUGAUAAUCUCAAACCAUUUUAUGGCUCCACUUUUUCUAAUUUUUGGUUGUACACAAUGAGACAUGGUAGUUAAUUAACUGUUAUAAUUGUCUGUUGGAUCAUUGUAUGGAAUUGAUCAAAGGUCUUUUGCUGUUAUUAGCUGAGUUGAUUGAAUGAGUUGCGAGAAAAAGAUUGGUUCUUCUGGGUAAGUAAAACUCCUUUGCUGACAAAGUCAGAUAUCACCAGAUAUUUGAGGGAUUGUGAAUAUGAAACAAACUUAGUCCUCUGCUGCAUCUUCUUCUGCUUUACCAAGCCUUUUCUCUACUCUUUUCCCAGCUUUCCAUCACCUGGGUAUGUACCUUCCACUAUAAAUAAUUGCUUCAUAGGC
rnacentral:lncRNA from 1 species